AGCCCAGCCUCUGCAGCUCCUCCAGAUAGCUCUGGAGCGCCAACACUCCAGCAGAGUUGCAAUCAUAGAGAACAGCAGGCUUCAGCCCGCGAGCCACAGCCAACACCUCUCCUGCUAGGUGAAGACAGACAGCUCGAGAGUUCUCACAGCAGCCUGAUCAAACCAGCAUAAGCAAGAAUGCGGAGUAACCACCGCCUCGCCCUUAGACACACAGGUGCGGGGUCGCAGAAAGCCCUUCCGGCUCCCUGCCAGCGGCCAGGAAGGUAACUGGCCGUCCCACGCCCCACACAAAACCGCGAAAGCUCCACGGUUAUGAGAAGAACCCCCAGCAAAGACAGUCUGACGCACGAGCACACACCACCCUUAUCCGCCCUUCUGCGACGUCAUUCAGAACGUAAACGCGAACGCAAGCCGGAACCACUGACGAGACCGUGGACAGGAACGGAAUAGGAAGUACAGUCACCCCAGACAAACCCCUUCCGGUAGAACUGAAGCCGGCUGGGCUGCCGGGCGGAAGUGAGAGGUAGUUCCUGGACGAGCAACUAUUUAGUCGGCAAUGUAGUGGAGAUGCCUCUUCUGUGAGCAAUGCUAUAAAGCUUCUUUUUAUUUUGUUUUAUUUUAUUUUAUUUUAAUGCCCCUAAAUCCUGGACGUGAUAAGUUGAGUGCCAAGACCGUGAAUAUUCACUCCUUUUUAGCGAGUGCCAUUAACUGCUGAGCCAGUAUUAUUUUACUUUGACAGCGUUUUGUGUAGCUGGGGCUGGCAGGGGACGGGACUUCUCCGGUUUAUGCCGUGUUGGAGACUGAGCUCUAGAUUUUAGGCAUACUAACUAACACUCACUAACUGAGUGUGCCUAGGCGGGAGAGGUAUUGCAUUGUAUAAAACAGCAACCCCAUCUCGUGGACCUCAAGGCCCAAGAGUCCAGUUUGCUGAUCAUUUUAAAGAGUUUUUUGUUGUUGUUGUUGUUGUUUUUGUUUUUUUGUUUUUUUAACUUUCAUUCAUAUGUUCGUAUGUGUGGGUGCCUGAGAAGCCAAAAAAGGGAGUAGGAUCACUCAGACCUGAAGUUAAAAGUAUUGCGAGCUGCCCAACAUGGGUUCUGGGAGCCGAAUUCAAAUCUUUGGAAGAAAAGUAAACGCUCUUACCCGCUGAGUCUCUAUAGCCACCCUGUUGUGCUCUUUUGAGACAAUGUCUUUCUAUGUGCCCCUCAAAUGUAUGACAAUCUUCCUGCCUCGGCCUCCAGAGUGCUGAGGUUAGAGUCUGUGCCACCAUGCCCCCACAAUAGGGGAAUCAAACAAGAAGUGAAGAUCCAGGGGCCAAGUGUACCAGGUAGUGGCGUACCUGCCUAUCCUUGGAGCCAAAGUGCCACCAUUUUCAUGAGUUCAUCUGUGCGGUCUUGCAAAAGAACAUUUCAACUAGGCUUAACUGUUGACAUUCCCUUGUAGAAGGAGGAUCUUGAGACCCUCGCCGGAAUACCCAGCCAAUUCAACCAAUUGAAUGUUGUCUCAAGAAGUAUCUAGGCUGGGAAAACAUCGGAGGGCAGGGAGGGGAGCAUCCUCUGGGAAGUCAUAGAAGAGUUAACCUCCAUACUGGGUGUAGAACUCCCAUUGAGGCUGCUGCUUUUUGUUUUGCUUUGUUUUGUUUUUCAGGACAGGUUUCUCGUGUUACUGCUCUGUCUGUCCUGGAACUCGCUUUAUAGACUGAGAUCUGCCUGUCUCUGCCUCCCAAGCACUGGGAUUAAAGGCCUGCACCCAUCAUGGCUGCUUUAAGGCCACCCAUGCUCCUGCCGGCCACCCCUCACCCACUGCUCUGUGAGUAAGCCUAAUGUGAGUCUUCAUUGGUUCCCCAGAUUGACUUCUGUGGAAAUGUACCCCCCCAUUUGUCACUGGGACCUUAGGAAGGGAGGUAAAUGUUGCCUUGUCCCUUUCCCCAGAGAAAAAUCUCACAACCAGAUACUAAAGAAGGACACGUAUUGACAUAAGAAAUUAAGGUCUUUAAACUACCAGCAAUUUAACCUUAAAAUCUUAAGGAAACUCUAGCCUGGAAAAAAUGCCAAUUUAUGAGCAGCGGAAUGGAGACCUGGACUGGAGGUUGGCUCUACCUUGCUGGUACCUUCAGACAGAAAAGGACCAACAGUGGGGUUAAAGACAGACAGCAUGUAAGGAAGACCAGUUGUAGGGCUUGACAAUCUAACUUAGGUUCUUAGCUCAGGGGGCAUCAGAUACUAAAAGUUGAUACAACCAGUACUCUAGCUUUAUAUUUUUUCCUUUCCAAUUUUAUUUUAUAUCCCCAUGGCAGUUAGCAAUAAAUCUCCAAGUUGGAAGACUUAGUUCAUUUAUUACAGCACAAAUAUCUGAGAACACACUGUAUCAGACACUGCCGAAGGCCUGGCAGUCAGUCCAAGACAAACAGUCACGUAGAGCAUAGGUGGUGAGGACUUUACACAGAACACAGUUAUUCUGAAAGUUUAAGAUGCUAUGGGAACAUACAACCAGGGACUUGAUUAUGGGGAGGAGCCCAGACUUGACAUCUGCCCUCCCAGUUUACCUGCAGUGGGUUCUUUUUUAACUCUGAGUUAAUCUAGAGUGCACAUUGGAGGAAAAGGAGGUGCUAGGGAGAAUCCUCCUCCCUCCUGAGUCUUGAGAGGAAGGCAAGGAAGAAAACAGCUCUGGAGGGAAUGGAAGAGGCAGAAAACCGAACCCUAAAAGAGGAUACCUGGUGUCUACCAAAACCAGAGAAAGCUUACUGAAGAUGAUCAGAGAAGAUCCCUGCGUGUAACGUACUCUCCCAGCAUCCUGGAAAAGAUGCAAGACAAGGAAGGCCCUGGGCUGUCUAGUGAGGACCACACAAAAGCGUUCCUCCACCUAAUGCACUCCUCAGCUUCCCAUCACAGUCACGCACUGAGCGUUUGGUCCAUGGCACUUCAGAACAUUUUUCAACAUCCUUUACCAGUUCUGGUUACCUGGGCUUCCCUAAUAAUCUGUUACAUUUCAGGGGCUUGGGGGUGGGUGGAGGAAAUGGCCCCAUUCCACAGCUGCCCUUCCACUUUUCCUAUAAUGGGUUAUUUUAACUUUGAGCUGCCACACAUCAAGAUUCCCUCACUUCAAUUCACCAAGUGAUGCUACUUCAUGUUCCUCCAAAAGAAAAAAAAAGUCCCUAUACCUUGUAUGAUUCCUGGUCUAUAAAAAUCCAGCUUUUAGACUUUUACCUAAAUUUAUCUUUUAAAAAAUUUUUAGUUAGCACUUUGUGUAUGUGUGUACAAUUACGCCUUUUUUUUUUUUUUUUUUUUUUGGUUUUUCAAGACAGGGUUUCUCUGUAGCUUUGGUACCUGUCCCGGAACUAGCUCUUGUAGACCAGGCUGGCCUGGAACUCGCCUGCCUCUGCCUCCCGAGUGCUGGGAUUAAAGGCGUGCGCCACCACCAGCCUCCACAGUCACCUUUCUUUUAACAAUCUCUCAAAGGGUUUUAAACCAAAGCUUCAGCAUCCUAAGUAAGCCUCAUGGUCAUCCAAGAUCAGGUUGAGCUUUUAGACUUUAAAUCCAUCCCAACUUUCAGUGGCUUGAAAAACAGGAGGUGUGAUUCUUAGUUUAAGGGCAGCAGACUAUACACAUGUGCACACAAAUAGACAUCAGUAUUCAAGAGGAUAGGGCCUAUAACCGGAGAUCCACAUCGUUUUUCAUCUGAGUCUUGGAGUUCAAAUCCUAAGAAGUGGCUAGGGCAGACACUCUGAGACCCAGCUG